rnacentral:rRNA from 54 species
CGCGGUGGUCCCACCUGACCCCAUGCCGAACUCAGAAGUGAAACGCCGUAGCGCCGAUGGUAGUGUGGGGUCUCCCCAUGCGAGAGUAGGGAACUGCCAGGC